rnacentral:lncRNA from 1 species
CUGAGGAGAGGGCAGAACGGGGAAACCAACCUCUGGUAAUGAAAAACUUUACAGUGAAAAUCGGGACGAGUGGAACGCGGCGGAUGGAGAAAAAGGUUUAAACCCCGUUGAAAACUUGCAAAAAGGUUUUGUUUUGUUUUUCCUACAGACAGCAAAGGUUCUCGGUUAAAAACACAACUUGGAAAACAAGACACCGACCAGCUUCUUAAAGGAAACUAAAGAGCCCACGGAACGCGAAGCUGCGAGUUCCCAGGUCCCGGGGGGACCGCGGGGGGAACGCGGGUCCAGCAACGGCACCGGACACGGAAACCACACAGAAAUUACACACAGAGCCCCACGGCUGCCCGCUCUGCGCGCCCGCUGCUGCACGGCCCCGCGCGGAGUUCGUGUCUCUGCGGCCGUCCGCUGGCAAUUGCAUAAUAAAUUACAUUCACGGGAAUUCUGCAUUGGAAAUAAAUGACAGAUUCUGCAGAAAUAAUUAGGGUUUUAUUGUUAAAAUGUCUUUAGGAAAGACAAAACAAUUUAAGCUGGACUCCUCUCCUGUUGAGGGACUGUUUGUUCCCAGUCUUGCACCUGAUUGAAUCGCACUGAUUUUAAACCCUAAUUGACAGCAAUGUUGUCACCAGCAUGUGUUCACUCCCCGGGAUCAAAUACUAUUGAGUUUUGACCUCAGAUAGUACAGUGAGGCUCACUUGUCAUGUUUACUCUCAUUUCUAGAUUUACAGUGAUGCGGCAGAAGAAGAAACGGUGGGUUUGGAGCAACAGUGUGAGUUCAGUUUUGAGUCCCCUCUGUCACCGGCCUGACCCCGCGGCCCUGGCGGCACAGCUGGCGCUUGUUUGACAAGACUGUUUGCUGGCGAUAAGCCGAGUUAUUGGGCUAUUUUUUCCUUUGAAAAAAAUGCAGAUCUCAUUAAUUCUGGAGGAUAAAAGCAUCAUAUGCAGAGAAGAAAUGGUGCCGGUGAAUCCAUGCGAUUCCCCGGACACGAGAAGAUAAAACGGCAGCGUGGGUGCAGGUGAGCGGCCGCUUUUUGUGUAAAAUAACAGGUGGACGGUUUGCCACUUUUUGUGGAGUCCAAGGGGAGAGACACGAGCGAAGAUCAGGGCAAAACCCCAACCAGCCCCGGUUUCCAGCGCCGAGGCUGCCCCGAGCUGGGCGGGGGGCGGGAACGCGCCUGUUCUCUGUGUAAUUUCUUUGGGCGGUGAAGCACGCGGGACGGCUGGAGCGCACACCCAGCAACUACAGCUACAAUUAUUUAGUUUCCCUUGAAGAAAUAAGUGAAUAACAGCUCUGGAAAUCAUAAGGCUGAGAACAUCUUUAUGCAUACUGCAUAACAAAAUAAACCCUUUACAUAAGACAGUAAUAAUGCCCAUUAAUGAAUAUACGUAUGGCAGAGAUUUUAAUUCCAUGCAUAUGAUUUAAUAAUCACAGAAAAAAAAAAAAACAUACAAAGAAAAAAAUAAAAAAUAAAACCUGCUUAAGCAUAAUGAAAAUUCCUUUUGCAUUGCACUUGAGGAGAUGGGCACGAGCCGGGCGGCCCGGACCCUGCCUGCGCAACUGGUUCUUGCUCCCAACACUUGGACAUUGUCCCAGUAAUUCUACUCCUUUCGUAUUUAUUCUUGGUUUUUUUGUACCUAAAACAUAUAUAUGAACUUCUCCGUUAAUGCUCACAGUUAUUAUAAUGGCUAUUAUAAUGGUUUCAAGCAAACAGCUCUUGUUUAAAAAAACAAAACAACUCUCUAAUGUACUGUAAGUAAAUACGAUAAUUUUGGGAUUGGAAGCCGCUUUCUCUCUACUGGGAAGUAAUUUUUAAUCUUACAUAGUUUGCAUUAAUGUCCAAAAGCAAAUGAAGAUGACUGGAAAUGCGUUUCUUUGUUGAGAAUAACUUGUGUGUGAUGAUGCAUACGUGGGGUGGUUGAUUUUGUUUCCCCUUUUGUUCUUUAAAGUGUCAGCGUUGCCUAUAGAAGCUGCUGAGAGGAAAACUGAGCUGGAAGGCACAUCUGCAGCCCCAGGUCCCGUCUUCACUUGCCGCUGAUGAGCCCGAGCGUGUCAGAGGGGAGAGUUCACGGGGGAGAAUCGCUUUCUCUGGUCAGUGAGGCACCGGCUUUCUGCGUCAAGCGCUGGGGAGCGUCUGUGCCCCCCGGCAGCCGCGUUCCUCCCGCUGCGCUGACGGAGGUGACGGGGACGGGGGGCGCGGGCCGGGACCGGGCGAUGCUGCUCACGUCCGUCACGCAGCGCCGAGCCCAGAACGCUCCACGUGUAAACUUGGAAACAUGGAAUCAAACGCAGACCUCCAACAACGCGACGUUGCGCUCUCCUCGGGCACGGAGAUCCCGACCGCCGGUUCAUCACACAAGCAGUGCUCUUGGCUGGAGUGAGUCUCUUGAACGCACCAAUUCAUGGAGACGGCUCUAGAAAAGGUGGCGAUUCGCAAACCCUGAAUCUGUAAGGCCGGGUUUAUCUUCCCAAAGCAUCGAUCCUCCCCUCCCCCCCGCGCGGUCCCACAUCUUCCCUUCUCCUCCGAUUGGGACGGAAAUGACGACAAUUCUCCCGAGGACAAAAUCAACUUUGAAAAGCACUCAAUCCUCAUCCAGCCCCGUGACGGGAUGAAAACUGCGCGGGCUUCCUCGACGGCUGCAAAACUGCUCACGAAAUGGCAUCAUCACCAGAGGGUUCUGUGUCGAGAAUCCCAAAGCCUAUAACAAGUCAUUAAAAAUUGUGCAUCGAAGGGUUUUUUUGU